CGUCCCGCCGGCGACCGGCGCACGGGUGAGUAACACGUAUGCAACCUGGCCGCCACAGGGGAUAACCCGCGGAAACGCGGCCUAAUACCCCGUGACGCCACCGGAGGGCAUCCUCCGGUGGCCAAAGGAGCGAUCCGGUGGCGGAUGGGCAUGCGGCGCAUUAGCUAGACGGCGGGGUGACGGCCCACCGUGGCGACGAUGCGUAGGGGUUCUGAGAGGAAGGCCCCCCACACUGGGACUGAGACACGGCCCAGACUCCUACGGAAGGCAGCAG
rnacentral:rRNA from 1 species